GACGUAGGAUGCGAGCGUUAUUCGGAUUUAUUGGGCGUAAAGCGUGCGUAGGCGGCUGUUUAAGUCUGGUGUUAAAGCUAGGGGCUCAACCCCUGUGGUGCAUCGGAUACUGGGCAGCUUGAGUGCGGUAGGGGAAGGUGGAAUUCCGAGUGUAGCGGUGAAAUGCGUAGAUAUUCGGAAGAACACCGGUGGCGAAGGCGGCAUCCUGGACCAACACUGACGCUGAGGAGCGAAAGCCAGGGGAGCAAACGGG
rnacentral:rRNA from 1 species